rnacentral:rRNA from 1 species
UACGUAGGGGGCAAGCGUUGUCCGGAUUUAUUGGGCGUAAAGAGCGUGUAGGCGGCCUUACAGGUCAGCUGUGAAAACUCGAGGCUCAACCUCGAGACGUCGGUUGAAACCGUAAGGCUAGAGUCCGGUAGAGGCGUGUGGAAUUCCGGGUGUAGUGGUGAAAUGCGUAGAGAUCCGGAGGAACACCAGUGGCGAAGGCGACACGCUGGGCCGUACCUGACACUGAUGCGCGACAGCAUGGGGAGCAAACAGG